UCAAAUUUGUAAUCUGGCGUCCUUUGGUCGUCCGAGUUGUAAUCUAGAGAAGUGCUUUCCGCGCUGGACCGUGUACAAGUCUCCUGGAACGGAGCGUCGUAGAGGGUGAGAAUCCCGUCUUUGACACGGACUACCAGUGCUCUGUGAUGCGCUCUCGAAGAGUCGAGUUGUUUGGGAAUGCAGCUCAAAAUGGGUGGUGAAUUCCAUCUAAAGCUAAAUAUUGGCGAGAGACCCGAUAGCGAACAAGUACCGUGAGGGAAAGAUGAAAAGCACUUUGGAAAGAGAGUUAAACAGUACGUGAAAUUGUUGAAAGGGAAACGCUUGAAGUCAGUCGCGUUCGCCGAGACUCAGCCUUGCCUUCUGGCUUGGUGUACUUCUCGGUGGACGGGCCAGCAUCAAUUUUGACCGCCGGACAAGGGCGAGGGGAAGGUGGCACCCUCGGGUGUGUUAUAGCCCCUCGUCGCAUACGGAGGUCGGGAUUGAGGAACUCAGCACGCCUUUAUGGUCGGGGUUCGCCCACGCUCGUGCUUAGGAUGCUGGCGUAAUGGCUUUAAGCGACCCGUCUUGAAACACGGACCAAGGAGUCUAACAUGCCCGCGAGUGUUCGGGUGGAAAACCCGUGCGCGUAAUGAAAGUGAAAGUUGGGACCCCUGUCGUGGGGGGCACCGACGCCCGGACCAGACCUUCUGUGACGGAUCUGCGGUAGAGCGUGUAUGUUGGGACCCGAAAGAUGGUGAACUAUGCCUGAAUAGGGUGAAGCCAGAGGAAACUCUGGUGGAGGCUCGUAGCGAUUCUGACGUGCAAAUCGAUCGUCAAAUUUGGGUAUAGGGGCGAAAGACUAAUCGAACCAUUGCUUUGCUGCUCGG
rnacentral:rRNA from 1 species